GACGAACGCUGGCGGCGUGCUUUACACAUGCAAGUCGAACGGUGAAGGUGGAGCUUGCUCCGCCGGAUCAGUGGCGAACGGGUGAGUAACACGUGGGCAACCUGCCCCUAACUUUGGGAUAACUACUCGAAAGAGUAGCUAAUACCGGAUAUGAAGUCUGUAGGCAUCUACGGAUUUGGAAAGUUUUUCGGUUAGGGAUGGGCCCGCGGCCUAUCAGCUUGUUGGUGAGGUAGUGGCUCACCAAGGCGACGACGGGUAGCCGGCCUGAGAGGGCGACCGGCCACACUGGGACUGAGACACGGCCCAGACUCCUACGGGAGGCAGCAGUGGGGAAUAUUGCGCAAUGGGCGAAAGCCUGACGCAGCAACGCCGCGUGCGGGAUGAAGGCCUUCGGGUUGUAAACCGCUUUCAGCAGGGAAGAAGCGAAAGUGACGGUACCUGCAGAAGAAGCACCGGCUAACUACGUGUCAGCAGCCGCGGUAA
rnacentral:rRNA from 1 species